rnacentral:rRNA from 1 species
ACGUAGGUGGCAAGCGUUGUCCGGAAUUACUGGGUGUAAAGGGAGCGUAGGCGGGGAGACAAGUUGAAUGUUUAAACUAUCGGCUUAACUGAUAGUCGCGUUCAAAACUAUCACUCUUGAGUGCAGUAGAGGUAGGCGGAAUUCCUAGUGUAGCGGUGAAAUGCGUAGAUAUUAGGAGGAACACCAGUGGCGAAGGCGGCCUACUGGGCUGUAACUGACGCUGAGGCUCGAAAGCGUGGGUAGCAAACAGG